rnacentral:rRNA from 1 species
UUUAUGGAGAGUUUGAUCCUGGCUCAGGAUGAACGCUGGCGGCGUGCCUAAUACAUGCAAGUCGAGCGAACAGAUAAGGAGCUUGCUCCUUUGACGUUAGCGGCGGACGGGUGAGUAACACGUGGGUAACCUACCUAUAAGACUGGAAUAACUCCGGGAAACCGGGGCUAAUGCCGGAUAACAUGUUGAACCGCAUGGUUCUACAGUGAAAGACGGUCUUGCUGUCACUUAUAGAUGGACCCGCGCCGUAUUAGCUAGUUGGUGGGGUAACGGCCUACCAAGGCGACGAUACGUAGCCGACCUGAGAGGGUGAUCGGCCACACUGGAACUGAGACACGGUCCAGACUCCUACGGGAGGCAGCAGUAGGGAAUCUUCCGCAAUGGGCGAAAGCCUGACGGAGCAACGCCGCGUGAGUGAUGAAGGUCUUCGGAUCGUAAAGCUCUGUUGUUAGGGAAGAACAAAUGUGUAAGUAACUGUGCACAUCUUGACGGUACCUAACCAGAAAGCCACGGCUAACUACGUGCCAGCAGCCGCGGUAAUACGUAGGUGGCAAGCGUUAUCCGGAAUUAUUGGGCGUAAAGCGCGCGUAGGCGGU